AACGGCGAGUGAAGCGGCAAAAGCUCAAAUUUGAAAUCUGGCCUCCUCCGGGGGUCCGAGUUGUAAUUUGUAGAGGAUGCUUCGGGUGUGGCCGCCGUCUAAGUUCCUUGGAACAGGACGUCAGAGAGGGUGAGAAUCCCGUCUUGGGCGGCCGGCCCGCGCCCGUGUGAAGCUCCUUCGACGAGUCGAGUUGUUUGGGAAUGCAGCUCUAAGCGGGUGGUAAAUUUCAUCUAAAGCUAAAUACUGGUCGGAGACCGAUAGCGCACAAGUAGAGUGAUCGAAAGGUUAAAAGCACCUUGAAAAGGGAGUUAAACAGCACGUGAAAUUGUUGAAAGGGAAGCGCUUGCGGCCAGACUCGGGGGCGGGGUUCAGCGGGCGCUCGUCGCCCGUGCACUCCCCGUCUCCCGGGCCAGCAUCAGUUUCGACGGCCGGUCAAAGGCCCCCGGAAUGUGUCGUCUCUCGGGACGUCUUAUAGCCGGGGGUGCAAUGCGGCCCGUCGGGACUGAGGAACGCGCUUCGGCUCGGAUGCUGGCGUAAUGGCCGUAAGCGGCCCGUCUUGAAACACGGACCAAGGAGUCUAACAUCCACGCGAGUGUUCGGGUGUCAAACCCGUGCGCGCAGUGAAAGCGAACGGAGGUGGGAGCCUUAGGGCGCACCAUCGACCGAUCCUGAAGUCUUCGGAUGGAUUUGAGUAGGAGCGUGGCCGUUGGGACCCGAAAGAUGGUGAACUAUGCCUGAAUAGGGUGAAGCCAGAGGAAACUCUGGUGGAGGCUCGCAGCGGUUCUGACGUGCAAAUCGAUCGUCAAAUUU
rnacentral:rRNA from 1 species